CCUACGGGAGGCUGCAGUGAGGAAUAUUGGUCAAUGGACGAGAGUCUGAACCAGCCAAGUAGCGUGAAGGAUGACUGCCCUAUGGGUUGUAAACUUCUUUUAUAUGGGAAUAAAAUGUUCCACGUGUGGGAGUUUGUAUGUACCAUAUGAAUAAGGAUCGGCUAACUCCGUGCCAGCAGCCGCGGUAGUACGGAGGAUCCGCGCGUUAUCCGGAUUUAUUGGGUUUAAAGGGAGCGUAGGUGGAUUGUUAAGUGAGUUGUGAAAGUUUGCGGCUCAACCGUAAAAGUGCAGUGGAAACUGGCAGUCUUGAGUACAGUAGAGGUGGGCGGAAUUCGUGGUGUAGCGGUGAAAUGCUUAGAUAUCACGAAGAACUCCGAUUGCGAAGGCAGCUCACUGGACUGCAACUGACACUGAGGCUCGAAAGUGUGGGUAUCAAACAGGAUUAGAUACCCUUGUAGUC
rnacentral:rRNA from 1 species